AAGAUUACCUGACAGGCCGACACCAUGAUCAAGCAGGUGGCUGAGGGUGAGGUUGAGCCUUGGCACUCCAGCUGUGCUGGCCCCUGUGUGAUUUCCACAGAUGUGGGAAUCUAGACUGCAUAAUGUUUGCUUACACACACAGGUUUACAACCAGGGUGGC
rnacentral:snRNA from 1 species